rnacentral:rRNA from 1 species
GCCAUGCCGCGUGAGUGAAGAAGGCCUCGGUUGUAAGACUCUUUCUAGCCGGAAAGAAAACGACGCAGGUUAAUAACCUGUGCGGAUGACGGUACCGGAAGAAGAAGCACCGGCUAACUACGUGCCAGCAGCCGCGGUAAUACGUAGGGUGCGAGCGUUAAUCGGAAUUACUGGGCGUAAAGCGUGCGCAGGCGGUUUUGUAAGACAGAUGUGAAAUCCCCGGGCUUAACCUGGGGAACUGCAUUUGUAACUGCAAGGCUAGAGUACGGCAGAGGGGGUAGGAAUUCCACGUGUAGCAGUGAAAUGCGUAGAUAUGUGGAGGAAUACCGAUGGCGAAGGCAGCCCCCUGGGGUCGAUACUGACGCUCAUGCACGAAAGCGUGGGGAGCAAACAGGAUUAGAUACCCUGGUAGUCCAUGCCCUAAACGUUGAUUACUCGUUGUUGGCGAUACACUGUCAGCGACUAAGCGAAAGCGUUAAGUAAUCCACCU